AAUUUUUUUUUUUUUUUUAAACCUGACUCCCCAGGGUAUACCAGAUCCGCCACAAAUACAAGGAAUCCACUGUUCACACGGACAGAGUCUCCCCUAUAUUUGCAUGGCGUCGCACAAGUACAAGAUGUCCAAACAGAGUACAACCACCAUAAUGAAUAUACAACAUUCAACAUUCAUUCACCAUUCACCACAGAUUUAUCAUUCAGUGUUUGAACAUAAAACUACAACUAUCAGUUAAAACGUUUCCUACCCGGAAACUGGUUUUGAAGUACUAA
rnacentral:lncRNA from 1 species